GUUGGGAUAGCUCACUCAGUUGAGCAUGAGAUUCUUAAUCUCAGGGUUGUGGGUUCAAGCCCCACGUUGGGCA